rnacentral:rRNA from 1 species
UAUAACCGGCGAUACCCGAAUGGGGAAACCCAGUGUGAUUCGUCACACUAUCAUUAACUGAAUCCAUAGGUUAAUGAGGCGAACCGGGGGAACUGAAACAUCUAAGUACCCCGAGGAAAAGAAAUCAACCGAGAUUCCCCCAGUAGCGGCGAGCGAACGGGGAGGAGCCCAGAGCCUGAAUCAGCAUGUGUGUUAGUGGAAGCGUCUGGAAAGGCGCGCGAUACAGGGUGACAGCCCCGUACACAAAAGCGCAUGUGCUGUGAGCUCGAUGAGUAGGGCGGGACACGUGGUAUCCUGUCUGAAUAUGGGGGGACCAUCCUCCAAGGCUAAAUACUCCUGACUGACCGAUAGUGAACCAGUACCGUGAGGGAAAGGCGAAAAGAACCCCGGCGAGGGGAGUGAAAAAGAACCUGAAACCGUGUACGUACAAGCAGU